GUAUAGACAUCAGGCAGCGUGUUGUUAACAAACGUUUUAACCAGUUGUUUAACAUAAUGAAUGUUUGCGCAAUUUUUUUCACGAUUCUUUUAUCUCUGACAUAUUCGGACGCAUUUUUUAAAUGGCAUCCACGUUCUAGAUGUGUUGACUGUUUUUAUCGACCUCGUAGGGAAGGCAAAGGUACUAUGAUGGAUGCAACUGGUGCACGUGUGGCUAUGACGGGGUUCCAGCUUGUACGUAUAUGAACUGUCGAUACAACCGCUGCUUCAAGCGAUUUGGACGAUAUUAAUGAUAAAGUUAUCAAAAAACUGUCCAGUAUGUAGUGUUGGCUGCCUUUCGAAAAUAUAUGCAUACCUAUAAGACAAUAACCUCAAAAGUGUACAAAGCCAUAAACAAUAGCAUAAAAAUGCACAUUCUACCUGAUGUUGACGAUAACAUAAACAAAACAAAUAUAAAACAAAAAUACUCGGAGUGUAAUUGUAUCGUUUGUUUAAAGUCAACCCCGAUAGUAAAAGAGACUAAAGGUGUUAUAUAUAAAGCUGUCGCAUUUACUUCGUACUUGAUGUAACUUUUAGCCGGACUCAAUACGAACUUUAAGAACUGUUGUAAUGAUACAUGUUUUCUCGCAUAUUUUUGCAAAUGCAAUAUGUAUAUGGAAAUUGAAUGCUUUUAUAUACAUAAACGGUUAAAAAAACAAGGAAAAGACACAUUCAAAGAACGCUGCCGCCUAUAUAGGAAGUAUUGAAGUCUACGAUUCAUUUUUAGCUCGACUAUUCAAAGAAUAGGUAGAGCUAUUGGACUCACCCAUGUGUCGGCGUCCGCCUCUGCGUCGGCGUCCCGAUUUGGUUAAGUUUUUGUAUGUAAGCUGGUAUCUCAGUAACCACUUAUGGGAAUAGACUGAAACUUCCCACACUUAUUCACAGUGAUAAACUGACUUACAAUGCACAGGUUCCAUAACUCUAUUUUGCUUUUUUACAAAAUUAUGCCCCUUUUUCGACUUGGAAAUUUUUGGUUAAGGUUUUAUAUGUAAGCUGGUAUCUCAGUACCCACUAAUGGGAAUGGAUUGAAACUUCACACACUUGUUCACUGUGAUGAUCUGACAUGCAGUGCACAGGUUCCAUAACUUUACUUUUCAUUUUUACAAAAUUAUGCCCCUCUUUCGACUUUGCUGUUUUUGGUUAGGUUUUUGUAUGUAAGCUGACUGAUGGGAAUGGAUUGAAACUUCACACACUUGUUCACUGCAAUGAUCUGACAUGCAGUGCAAAGGUUCCAUAACUCUACUUUGCAUUUUUACAAAAUUAUGCCCCUUUUUCGACUUAGCAGUUUUUGGUUAAAUUUUUGUAUGUAAUCUGGUAUCUCAGUACCUACUAAUGGGAAUGGAUUGAAACUUCAUACAAUUGUCCAUUGUCAUGAGCUGAUAUACAUUUUACAGGUUCCAUAACCCUGUUUUGCAAUUUUACAAAAAUAUGCCCCUUUUUCGACUUUAAUAUUCAUUCAAUUGACAAGGCUGUCGAGCGUUGCUGUCCUCCGACAGCUCUUGUUAUAUAAAUACUAACAAAAUACAUUAUGUGGCAAGUUUCAGAAGUAAGUCUGGGCUCAUUAUUUUAACCAAAUCUACUCAUAUCUGGAUUCAAAUCUAGAUUCAAACCGGAAAUCAUCACAGUUUGCAUGCUUAGCUCCAAUGGACAUUCCAAGCUAUCAGUAUAGUCGAAAUGAGAUGAAAUUGGUGACCAUUUAUUGCCCGCUGAUUGUGAACAGUAAUCGUCAAAAUAUAGCAUAACUAGACCGACCUAUCAUGACGAACAGUGUGUGUUCUGCAUAUCGUAUACCAUAUUGCAAAAUUGCAAUGCCAUUAGAAUGUCUACGAAAACAGCACAUUUUUCAUCCUUAGAGAAGGAUUAUCUUUUGAGGGCUGUGAAAAAUGUAUUUUCAAAUGUUAGUGGAAAACAAAUGCAAAUUUUCAAAUUUGGUAAAGGACACAGGCGCCAUGCGUAUACUUGUGUACAAAAUAUGUUUCUGUCGCACGUAUUUUGAGCUGUAUCCAUUGUCAAUACGGUAAAAAAGUUCAUGCUUUGUGAGGGACAAUGAAUCCCAGCUCGCCACUAGAAUACUGCUAAUUCAGAUAUUUUUACGAAGCUGGUUUCGCGAAAUAGAAUAUUCGCGAUGUAUGGCCAACUUCUGAAUUAUAUAGCGCUAUCUGUACAAACAAAUAGCACUG